UUACAGAUCUGCUGGAAUUUGCAGCCACGCGAUAGCUGUGGUGGUGGUGGAUCGGCGCAGUUUCGACGGACGCCGAUGUCGCACCGGAGGAUCCGGUUCGGGCCGAGCAGAGUCGGCUUGAAGAUCCGUAGCAGAACGCGGCUGACUCUGUCUGCUGUGUAUCGGUCCGCGAUCGCUGAUUAAGAAGAAGCCCUGGAGCCACGCGGGGCAGCAUUGAAGGUGGCGGGCGCAGAGUUAGUAAGAGAAUGAGUGGGGGGAAGGAGAGGAGGAGAAGCUCGAGAGAAGCUGAGGGGACUGAAAAUCGGCGCUGCGCUAUAUAUCGAAUCGCACCGGCGAAUUGCCGAAUUCGGUUUUGCAUUAA